UUACUUUUGUAUCCCUUGUAGAGAUACAGCUCAGAUGACCCCUCAGGAAGGGCUGUGGGGUGCCCUUGUGUAGGGGGCCACCUCCUCCACAGACAUUCUCCUCUCCCCCCAAAGUAGUCUGAUCAGACCUUUGAGGUAGGGGAAAGCCACUAUGGUCAGUGCUCAGAUGGGGGGUGCACUGGGCUGAUGGAAAUGCAGUGAGAGACAUUCACUCCAGCAAGGGACUCAGAGGACCCACUCUAAAGCCCCAUCUAUACCAAGUCCUGAGGAAGAGGAAGGAAGAUGUGCUCCAGCCCCCCUAGGUGCAAUUCCACGGAGAGGGACACCUGUGCUAGGCCCAGAUGGAGGAAGGGUCACAGGGAGGAAGUAAUGAAGGAUGGAAGAAAUGGAUGAAGAAAACAAGGAAGGAGGGGCUCUCACGGUCCCUCAGGCUUUGGAAGUGGCCCUGUUGAGUCAACUCCUGCCUCACCUGCUCCUCCACCCCUACCUGGAGAGGCCCCCCAACAUGCUCACAUCAAACUCUGUGCAUUUGA